CCUCACCCGGCGGCCCAGGGCAAAUGUUCCCUAUUGAACCGUAAAGAAACCGAAAGGCGAAGGUUGUGACGUCUUUGGAAAACUCGCAGGAAAGAUGGAAACCUUGGGGGUUCGGGAGACAAGACGGAGAGGUGGGAGCUAUUGAAAGCCAAGGCUAAGCCUGCCUGCCAUCCCUUGCCAUUGACAGGGAACAUCACAUAAUUUUUCCAGAAGAACUAAAGUCCUGGACACCAGCCAUGUCUUGACAGCUGCCUAAACAUGAUCCAUGAGUCUUCCAGAAGAAGGAUGCCCCAUUCAUGCCCACAGACUUUAAUAAGAACCACCUCCCAUUCAAACUGCCUUUGUGGAUAGAUCUUGUCAACAACCUGUAUGUAGUACUCCCAACCUCCCCAUCCCUGCCUUCAACAGAGUGGAGAUCUUGAAAGAUGAAUGGGGUGUGGAGAAAAUAACCUCAACACUGGUACUUCUGCAGAGCCCAUGCUGGACAGGACAGCCUGCCCCCGCUUUCUACACGCACUGCCCACAUUUUGUUAGUUCCAGCCAACUCUACCCUGCCCCAUCUAAACACCUCCCUAACCCUGUGCCAAAAUGUCCUUGCCUGCAAAGAAUUUACUGUCACUUGCUAUAUGCUAAACACCUGUGCAUGCUUUC